GGGAGAGUUUGAUCCUGGCUCAGAUUGAACGCUGGCGGAAUGCUUUACACAUGCAAGUCGAGCGGCAGCGCGGGGGCAACCCUGGCGGCGAGCGGCGAACGGGUGAGUAAUAUAUCGGAACGUACCCCGUCGUGGGGGAUAACACAGCGAAAGCUGUGCUAAUACCGCAUACGACCUGAGGGUGAAAGCGGGGGAUCGCAAGACCCCGCGCGAUGGGAGCGGCCGAUAUCGGAUUAGCUUGUUGGUGAGGUAAAGGCUCACCAAGGCGACGAUCCGUAGCUGGUCUGAGAGGACGACCAGCCACACUGGAACUGAGACACGGUCCAGACUCCUACGGGAGGCAGCAGUGGGGAAUUUUGGACAAUGGGGGCAACCCUGAUCCAGCCAUUCCGCGUGAGUGAAGAAGGCCUUCGGGUUGUAAAGCUCUUUCAGCAGGAACGAAACGGUGGCCACUAAUACUGGCUACUAAUGACGGUACCUGAAGAAGAAGCACCGGCUAACUACGUGCCAGCAGCCGCGGUAA
rnacentral:rRNA from 1 species